rnacentral:SRP_RNA from 1 species
GGCUGGGUCCUGCGCGGCGGAUGCCGCCGAACCUGGUCAGGUCCGAGAGGAAGCAGCCAUAAGGCGUGUCAUCCGGGUGCCGCAGGGUUACCUGGCCCUC